rnacentral:rRNA from 1 species
AACGAACGCUGGCGGCAGGCCUAACACAUGCAAGUCGAACGCGUCCUUCGGGACGAGUGGCAGACGGGUGAGUAACGCGUGGGAACGUACCCUUUGGUUCGGAACAACAGCGGGAAACUGCUGCUAAUACCGGAUAAGCCCUUCGGGGGAAAGAUUUAUCGCCAGAGGAUCGGCCCGCGUUAGAUUAGCUUGUUGGUGAGGUAAUGGCUCACCAAGGCUACGAUCUAUAGCUGGUCUGAGAGGAUGAUCAGCCACACUGGGACUGAGACACGGCCCAGACUCUUACGGGAGGCAGCAGUGGGGGAAUCUUGGACAAUGGGCGGAAAGCCUGAUCCAGCCAUGCCGCGUGAAUGAUGAAGGCCCUAGGGGUUGUAAAAUUCUUUCGACGGGGAAGAUAAUGACGGUACCUGUAGAAUAAGCCCCGGCUAACUUCGUGCCAGCAGCCG